rnacentral:lncRNA from 1 species
UCUUGUAAGUAAAUAUGUCAAGGGUUUUGUGUCUGGUUGGUUAUGUUCUGUAAGAGAAGGGAGGGGGGGUAAUUCUAUUGCCUGCUGAUAAAAAGGUAAUGGGACAGGGAGAUAAAAUAAAAAUGUCUUGCAUGUCAAUGUUUUGGAAUCGGGCCGAUCCGUGUGGAACUUUUAUAACACUGAGAAGACAGCGAGAAUCAUCAAAAUUAUUUGCAGAAAUUUUGAAGUGACCGGAAAUCACGACAUUAUACCAAAUAAACAGUGUUGGUCAACCCUAUUAAUCACGUAUUUUAAUUACGGCUUUAAUUAUCAUUUCAAAACGUGAUUUCAGGUUACGUCUAUUGCCAAACGCCACUAUGAUUGGCGUUCUGAGUUUUGGUUUAAUAUGCAAACGUGAUUUCAUGUCACGUUGAGAAUAUCUUUUUCAAAUAUUAAAAAAAAUGAAACUUAAACUGCCGUUUGUAAUAUUAAAAUGUUGCUUCAUGACUCGUUUAUGCUUUCGUUUAUUAUUUUUGAAAAUUAAGAAAAAAAAACACAACUUCAAACGUUUCCCAGUUAAAACGCUGUAUGUAGUUCCAUUUAAAACCUAAACGUGACUUCAUGACACGUUAAUACUUUUUUUUAUUAUUUUUAAAAAAAUCAAAACGCCACUUUUUAAGUUGUGUCUUAUAGCCUAAACGCAACUUUAAGUUGCGUUUUGUAUGUAUUUUUUUUAAUCUUUUUACAUUACUUUAGUUUUAAGUAUAAAUAAAUCAUUUUAAAACCCAAAUAUGAACCCUAAAAUAUUAAAAAUUAUUCAUAUAUGUUUUUAGAUUAAUUGAGGGUUACGCUCAAGCCUUUAGGGCCCUCAAUCCUAAACCCUAAUUGUCAGUUGAUUUAAUUUCAAGUAUAGAUAAAUCAUUCUAAAACCCAAAGGUGAGCCCUAAAAUAUUGAUAAUUGUUAAUUUACGUUACAGUAUUACGUUUAUUACACUGGUUCCUCGGCUUUAGGGCCCCACGGCCCUAAAGCCUCGCAUUAAUUAGGGUUUAGGCUCGAGGGCUUAGGACCUAAACCCUAAACCCUCAAAUCCUAAACCCUAACCGUCGAGCAAUUUAAUUUCAAGUAUAAAUAAAUCAUUUUAGAAAUCCAAAAUGUGAACCCUUAAAUGUUAACAACUGUUAUUUUAGGAUACAGUAUUAACUUUAUUACACUGGUUCCUCGGCUUUAGGGCCUCACGGCCCUAAAGUCUCGAAUUAAUUAGGGUUUAGGUUCGAGUGUUUAGGGCUUCAAGGCCCUAAACCCUAACCCNUGUAAGUAAAUAUGUCAAGGGUUUUGUGUCUGGUUGGUUAUGUUCUGUAAGAGAAGGGAGGGGGGGUAAUUCUAUUGCCUGCUGAUAAAAAGGUAAUGGGACAGGGAGAUAAAAUAAAAAUGUCUUGCAUGUCAAUGUUUUGGAAUCGGGCCGAUCCGUGUGGAACUUUUAUAACACUGAGAAGACAGCGAGAAUCAUCAAAA